UAACAGAAAGUAAUAAAUUACAUAUAGUUUCGGCCUAUAAAUAGGUUCGCCUCUGUUAU
rnacentral:tRNA from 1 species